rnacentral:rRNA from 1 species
UACGAAGGGGGCUAGCGUUGCUCGGAUUGACUGGGCGUAAAGGGCGCGUAGGCGGUUCGUACAGUCAGACGUGAAAUUCCUGGGCUCAACCUGGGGGCUGCGUUUGAUACGUGCGGACUUGAGUGCGGAAGAGGGUCGUGGAAUUCCCAGUGUAGAGGUGAAAUUCGUAGAUAUUGGGAAGAACACCAGUGGCGAAGGCGGCUCACUGGCCCGUAACUGACGCUGAGGUGCGAAAGCGUGGGGAGCAAACAGG